rnacentral:lncRNA from 1 species
GAAGUUUGAUGCUACGAAGUCCAUGUUGAUAAUUCACUUCUUACUAGGGUUGAUUUCUUAUCUCAAGCAAAUAACUAGUAAGCCAGACCUAUUAUUUGCAACCAAUAGUCAGAGUAUAAAAUAAUGGAAUUAACAAGAGGUUUCUACCACCGUUAGAAUCUUGAACACUUAGUUACGUUACAAACCCAAACCCAUAGAUCCCAUAACUUCGGUUAAGGGAAUUUAGCUACUCAUAAUAAAAUGAUCAAGACAACAAGUUGAAUUCAUAGUUUGAUAUUUGAACUUACAAAAAGAUGAAUAGCAACAAGUGUUUCUCACAUUUGAUUAACAGUAGAAAGUCCCAAAACAAUUGUAAUAAUCUCUCCAAAAAUAAUUGCAAAGUUCAAGUCAGAAAACUAGAUUCAAGUCAGAAAACUAGAGAGAAGUGAUUCUCAAAAUGUCGGUUCCCCCCUUCAUUAUGAUUAGAAAACCCUAACAUAUGCUUUUAAUACUUCAUCUUAAUAAUGGAAACAAAAUCAUAGAUCACUUUAUUUUCUCAGACAGGCGAUGAUGUGUGUGACAGCUUAUUAGGGGUCUGACGACUUAUCAAGAAUGUCGUCAGUUCCUCUUCACUUCUGACAAUCUCUGCCUUAGGUUGACGAUGAGACGUCACAACUUAACAUACAUGUGAUGACUUAUCAGAAUUGCCGUUGCUUCUUCACUUCAAAUCUUAUUCCCUGCCUAAGCCUAACGACGAGCUGGACGACCUAUCAUACUUCUGCCGGCCUAUUACAGAUGUCGUCAUGAAUUCCAGCUGAAGCUCAUUCUUUUGUCUAAGCCUGACGGCAUGUCUGAUAGCUUAUCACAAGGGUGACGACUUAUCAGAUAAGUCGUCAACUAUACUUCCCUCUCUACUUGCUCAGAAAUCAAAUCUUUUACUUCCAGUAUAGCUGGUUCUCUUGCAUCUUGACUUUUACUGCAAUAUCAAAUAGAAAACAAUCAAAAACGAAAAAUGUUGCUUAAGAAUUUGCGAUUAUUCUUAGUUAAAAGCAUCAAAUGUGUUAGCAUUUGCUCACAUAUCAGUUAUGAAAUCGUAAAUGAAUAAAUAUAUAAAAAUAGUAUAAGAAUACUAUCGAAAGAAUAAUCCUUGAAAAACACCUUUUAAAUCUCCCAAAAUUGAUUUCCUAUGCUUUAAAAUUGGGGUUUUUGAUUGAAAAUAUAAAUUUAUGUUUGUCCAGCGAUUUCAUUCUGUGCAAGUGUAGUGACCCGAUCCAUAAUUCAUCACAAAUACAAAUCACCCAUCAAUAAUGCGAUAAAUAUUUCCCUGAUCUGGACAUGAUUUCCUCUUCUCAAACGUGAUCCCCUCUGUAAGCUAACAAUAACCAACACCCUUCGUCCUUCACAAAUGCAACCAAAUCCUCACUAAAGCAACGGAGAUACUUUAGCCACACCAGUAACACUGGUGACAUCUAAAACAAACUAUGCUAUUGGAAUAAAAAAACAUAUCAGACUCAAUGAAAUUAUAAAAUCACUGAAAAUGUGUCAUCCUAAGCAAAUGUUGACUAACAUCAACCUUAUACCUUUAACUUUCGAAUUUCCAACAAACUACCAAAAAUCCAUUAGAAUGCCACCUUUAGAGAAAAAGCAAAGUUCCUAUUAUCCCAAAAACCCUAUUUUGAAGCCAACAUAUUUGACGACAUUCUCAUACGACCUCAUUACCACCAAUUAUUGGUCAAAGCUCACUAUACCAACUCUGAGACCUUCCAAAAUGUAAAACUCACAUAAUACUCAAUCAACUACUACAAAAAAUGUAUCAUUCUCACCCGCAGACCUUAAUUACUAUAAAGAAACUAUGAGAACAGAAAAAAUAAUCAAAUAUAUCAAAAUCAAAGAAACACUAUUAAAAUUAUUACAGAUAUUAUUGGUGAAAGCAUAAGGUUUAUCAUUAGCAGAUACUACAUAAGUUGAAUUAUCAUGUACUCAAUCAACUACUACAAAAAAUGUAUCAUCCUUACCCGCAGACCUUAAUUACUAUAAAGAAACUAUGAGAACAGAAAAAAUAAUUAAAUAUAUCAAAAUCAAAGAAACACUAUUAAAAUUAUUACAGAUAUUAUUGGUGAAAGCAUAAGGUUUAUCAUUAGCAGAUACUACAUAAGUUGAAUUAUCAUGAGUAAGGAUCACGUAAACUCAAUUAGUGAGAUAAGAAUGAAAUAUUACCAAAGUAAGACAAGAAAUGAAAUUUGGUCUAUAAAAAGGAAACAAAACUGGUGGCAUGAAAUGUAAUUCUACUAGUAUACACAUGCUCAUGACCUAUAGAGUCCUGAAAAAUAGGAAACCCACAAAACUACCCUAUGAAAACAACCAGAAUACAAUGGGUUUCAAA